GAUGAACGCUGGCGGCGUGCCUAAUACAUGCAAGUCGAGCGAACAGACGAGGAGCUUGCUCCUCUGACGUUAGCGGCGGACGGGUGAGUAACACGUGGAUAACCUACCUAUAAGACUGGGAUAACUUCGGGAAACCGGAGCUAAUACCGGAUAAUAUAUUGAACCGCAUGGUUCCAUAGUGAAAUACGGUUUUGCUGUCACUUAUAGAUGGAUCCGCGCCGCAUUAGCUAGUUGGUAAGGUAACGGCUUACCAAGGCAACGAUGCGUAGCCGACCUGAGAGGGUGAUCGGCCACACUGGAACUGAGACACGGUCCAGACUCCUACGGGAGGCAGCAGUAGGGAAUCUUCCGCAAUGGGCGAAAGCUUGACGGAGCAACGCCGCGUGAGUGAUGAAGGUCUUCGGAUCGUAAAACUCUGUUAUUAGGGAAGAACAAAUGUGUAAGUAACUAUGCACGUCUUGACGGUACCUAAUCAGAAAGCCACGGCUAACUACGUG
rnacentral:rRNA from 1 species